rnacentral:ncRNA from 2 species
UGAUCUGCGGCGGGAGAGUUCUGUUAGCAGGUACAACAGGCGCCGUAGGAGCAAAUCCUCCCCAGGAAUCUCUCAGGCCCACGUACCGCCGCGGCCAG